rnacentral:rRNA from 1 species
CAUUAUUGAAUAAGUUGGUUGGGUUGUUGCUGGCUCUUCGGGGCAUGUGCACGCCUAACACCAAUCUUUUUUUUUACCACCUGUGCACCUUUUGUAGACCUGGAGAUCUCUCGAGGAAACUCAGUAUGAGGACUGCUGUGCGUCAAAGCCGGCUUUCCUUACAUUUCCGGUCUAUGUCUUUUAUAUUACACCACCACUAUGUCUAUGAAUGUUUAUUAUCGGACUUGAUUGUCCAAUAAACCUUACUACAACUUUCAACAACGGAUCUCUUGGCUCUCGCAUCGAUGAAGAACGCAACGAAAUGCGAUAAGUAAUGUGAAUUGCAUAAUUCAAUGAAUCAUCGAAUCUUUGAACGCACCUUGCGCUCCUUGCUAUUCCGAGGAGCAUGCCUGUUUGAGUGUCAUGAAAUUCUCAACCUUUUCAGCUUUUUUUCUAAGUUGAUUAGGCUUGGAUAUGGGAGCUUGCUGGCUUCUUAUCGAAGUCAGCUCUCCUUAAAUUUAUUAGUAGGACCUCUGUUGCCUUAGCUUUUGGUGUGAUAAUUAUCUACGCCGCUAUGUGAAGCAGCUUUUAUGGGUUACUUGCUCUCUAACCGUCUCUGAUGGGACAAUUUAUGACAAUUUGACCUCAAAUCAGGUAGGACUACCCGCUGAACUUAAGCAUAUCA